GUGCCAGCAGCUGCGGUAAUACGUAGGGUGCGAGCGUUGUCCGGAAUUAUUGGGCGUAAAGAGCUCGUAGGCGGUGUGUCGCGUCGGCCGUGAAAACCUGGGGCUUAACUCUGGGCGUGCGGUCGAUACGGGCAUCACUAGAGUUCGGCGAGGGGAGACUGGAAUUCCUGGUGUAGCGGUGAAAUGCGCAGAUAUCAGGAGGAACACCGGUGGCGAAGGCGGGUCUCGUGGGCCGAUACUGACGCUGAGGAGCGAAAGCA
rnacentral:rRNA from 1 species